UGUGUGUGUGUGUGUGUUAGACCGGGGUCCUGCUGCCUCUUCUUCCUCUCUUGAUCACUCUGACACCCAGACGACAUGUGAGCCGACACAUGAGCCGACACACAGGUGGACUACACAGGGUGGUGUAAGUGUCAUGUAGUGCACUUAAGGUCUAAGAGGGAGCCAUUUAAGAUUCAGCCAAGGUUGUGGUGUGAGACACGGGACCCCGAAAUCAAACCAUCAAGCGUCUUAAAGCGGGUGUAAAGCUGCCAGACGGAACACGGGGAUGUCUAAUGGACCCCAUUCCCGCUGACUCACAACAAUGGGUCCUCGGGUGGUUUCCCUGUAGACGUGCUGGUAGCCCAGGUACAGUAUGAGGGUGAAGGUGCAGUACAGGAAACCAAAGACGCCCACAGACACAAAG